GACGAACGCUGGCGGCGUGCCUAACACAUGCAAGUCGAACGGAGAUUAUAGCAAUGUAAUCUUAGUGGCGGACGGGUGAGUAACGCGUGGGCAACCUACCUCUAACCGGGGGAUAACACAGGGAAACUUGUGCUAAUACCGCAUAAGAUCAUAGGAGGACAUCCUCUAGUGAUCAAAGGGAAAUCCAGUGAGAGAUGGGCCCGCGUCCGAUUAGCUAGUUGGCGGUGUAACGGACCACCAAGGCGACGAUCGGUAGCCGAACUGAGAGGUUGAUCGGCCACAUUGGGACUGAGACACGGCCCAGACUCCUACGGGAGGCAGCAGUGAGGAAUAUUGGACAAUGGAUGGAAAUCUGAUCCAGCCAUGCCGCGUGCAGGAAGACGGCCCUAUGGGUUGUAAACUGCUUUUAUAUGGGAGCAAUAAGGUCUACGAGUAGACCGAUGAGAGUACCAUAUGAAUAAGCAUCGGCUAACUCCGUGCC
rnacentral:rRNA from 1 species